rnacentral:rRNA from 1 species
AGCGAACGUUAGCGGCGGGCCUAACACAUGCAAGUCGAACGCGAAAGGUCUUCGGACUGAGUAGAGUGGCGCACGGGUGAGUAACACGUAGGUAAUCUACCCUUUGGCGGGGGAUAACGUUCCGAAAGGAGCGCUAAUACCGCAUAAGACCACGGAGUCUCCGGACGCUGUGGGAAAAGGUGGCCUCUUCUUGAAAGCUACCACCGAAGGAUGAGCCUGCGUCCCAUCAGCUAGUUGGUAAGGUAAUGGCUUACCAAGGCGAAGACGGGUAGCUGGUUUGAGAGGAUGAUCAGCCACACUGGCACUGGAACACGGGCCAGACUCCUACGGGAGGCAGCAGUGAGGAAUAUUGGGCAAUGGGCGAAAGCCUGACCCAGCCACGCCGCGUGAGUGAUGAAGGCCCUCGGGUCGUAAAGCUCUGUGGAGAGGGACGAAAACCCUGGUUUCAAAUAGGCUCCAGGCUUGACGGUACCUCUUUAGCAAGCACCGGCUAACUCUGUGCCAG